GAUGAACGCUCGCGGGAGGCCUAACACAUGCAAGCCGAGCGGUAUUGUUUCUUCGGACAUGAGAGAGCGGCGUACGGGUGCGGAACACGUGUGCAACCUGCCUUUAUCUGGGGGAUAGCCUUUCGAAAGGAAGAUUAAUACUCCAUAACAUAUUGAACGGCAUCGUUCGAUAUUGAAAGCUCCGGCGGAUAGAGAUGGGCACGCGCAAGAUUAGCUAGUUGGUGAGGUAACGGCUCACCAAGGCGAUGAUCUUUAGGGGGCCUGAGAGGGUGAUCCCCCACACUGGUACUGAGACACGGACCAGACUCCUACGGGAGGCAGCAGUGAGGAAUAUUGGUCAAUGGGUGCAAGCCUGAACCAGCCAUCCCGCGUGAAGGACGACUGCCCUAUGGGUUGUAAACUUCUUUUGUAUAGGGAUAAACCUGCCCUCGUGAGGGUAGCUGAAGGUACUAUACGAAUAAGCACCGGCUAACUCCGUG
rnacentral:rRNA from 1 species